UCAACAGAGAGAAGCAAUACCGCGAGGUGGAGCAAAACUUCAAAAAUGGUCUCAGUUCGGACUGUAGGCUGCAACUCGCCUACACGAAGUUGGAAUUGCUAGUAAUCGUGGAUCAGCAUGCCACGGUGAAUACGUUCCCGGGUCUUGUACACACCGCCCGUCACACCAUGGGAGUCAGCAACGCCCGAAGUCAGUGACCUAACCGAAAGGAAGGAGCUGCCGAAGGCGGGGCCGGUAACUGGGGUGAAGUCGUAACAAGGUAAC
rnacentral:rRNA from 1 species